rnacentral:lncRNA from 1 species
AUGAUUCGGUUCAUGCUUUGCAGUGUUUGUCGCUCGUCGUCGUGCUCACUGCUUAAUUCAGGAUCAUGCCUUCUAAAAAUUGUGGUCGCCAUGCUUGCCGAUUAAUUCAGGUUUAGGAACAAAGUGCUGGAUGAAAUAGGUUACAAUCAGGAGACUUUAGAGGGAGAGAGAGAACUGGAGUUAACAGUGCCAAUGCGGGCAUCAUUGCCCAACAGGGUGUCCCACCCCACCUCUGGAAUCUGGAUGUUAGAAUA